rnacentral:tRNA from 1 species
GUUUAUAUAGUUUAAUUUUAAAUAUUAAAUUGCAAGUUUAAAGAUAUUAUUUGAUUAAUUAUAAAUU